UACGGAGGAUUCGAGCGUUAUCCGGAUUUAUUGGGUUUAAAGGGUGCGUAGGCGGUCGGAUAAGUUAGAGGUGAAAUCCCGGGGCUCAACUUCGGAAUUGCCUCUGAUACUGUUCGGCUAGAGAGUAGUUGCGGUAGGCGGAAUGUAUGGUGUAGCGGUGAAAUGCUUAGAGAUCAUACAGAACACCGAUUGCGAAGGCAGCUUACCAAGCUACUUCUGACGUUGAGGCACGAAAGCGUGGGGAGCAAACAGG
rnacentral:rRNA from 1 species